UGGGGGAUAUUGCGCAAUGGGGGCAACCCUGACGCAGCAACGCCGCGUGAAGGAUGAAGGUUUUCGGAUUGUAAACUUCUUUUAUUAAGGACGAAACUUGACGGUACUUAAUGAAUAAGCUCCGGCUAACUACGUGCCAGCAGCCGCGGUAAUACGUAGGGAGCAAGCGUUGUCCGGAUUUACUGGGUGUAAAGGGUGCGUAGGCGGCUUUGCAAGUCAGAUGUGAAAUCUAUGGGCUCAACCCAUAAACUGCAUUUGAAACUGUAGAGCUUGAGUGAAGUAGAGGCAGGCGGAAUUCCCCGUGUAGCGGUGAAAUGCGUAGAGAUGGGGAAGAACACCAGUGGCGAAGGCGGCCUGCUGGGCUUUAACUGACGCUGAGGCACGAAAGCGUGGGUAGCAAACAGG
rnacentral:rRNA from 1 species